rnacentral:lncRNA from 12 species
GAAAUUCUGACAUCACAAGUUACUGCAAAAGAAAAUGGAGAAAGAAGAGUGUUUCAGUAAAUCUCAGUGGAUGUGUUACCUCUUGGAAUUUCACCAUGUACCGGUGAAAAUGCUUGCUUACAGAUUGAUGUUAUUUUC